rnacentral:rRNA from 1 species
GAUGAACGCUAGCGGCGUGCCUAAGGUAUGCAAGUCGAACGAGAAUCCCGUGCUUGCACGGGAGGACAGUGGCAAACGGCUGAGUAACGCGUAGGAAUCUUCACUUAACUUGGGGAUAGCUUCGGGAAACUGGAGGUAAUACCCAAUAGUCCCUUCGGGGUAAAGCUUUAGCGGUUAAGGAUGAGCCUGCGUCCUAUCAGGUUGUUGGUGGGGUAAUUGCCUACCAAGCCUAUGACGGGUAGCUGGUCUGAGAGGAUGUCCAGCCAGAAUGGGACUGCGACACGGCCCAU